ACGUUUCUUCAUCACAAAAUAUAACUCUGUUCACUCUCCUUACGCUCUCUCUAUCUCUCUCCCAAUUCUCGCAUAAUAUUACAGAAAAUCAAGAAAAAAUUCUCUCUUAAUUUCUUCAUUAUGUUUGCACCAAAUCCCUCUUAUCUUACCUCUUUUGUUUUCCCCAAAAGUAUUCGCCUAUAUCACCCAAUUUCUCCAAGCCCUAGUUCCUACCCCUGUUCGAGAAUUUUCGAAUUCAUCAAGGAGAUUUGGAAGAUUUGAUUACAGGAAAAGAGAAUUUUCGAAUUCAUUAAUUUCCCCUUCUUCUCCGGGAAGUUUCAUAUCGAAUCCUUCGGUUCCCUCUUCUUCUUUGUAUUCGAUUCUCUUCAAAGAGAUGGAGCUGACAUAGAAAGUAGUAUUAGCUUACCGGGUGUUGCUCAUGAUUAUAUGAGAUUUAUUUGUCGUGGAUCCAGGUGUGGAUCCUGGUACACCGAAUGUGACUAGGUUGAUGGUCAAUUGAUGAAGGGAGUCGGGAGGAGCAAGUUCAGCUAUAUUGUGCAUUGGAAUCUAGGCAAUGCAUCACAUUAAACACAUGGAUUGGACGAGGUAAGUAGCUACUUAUGCAAGAGCCCAGAUACAUUAUUGAAUUAUGAGUGCUACUAAGUGACAAAUGAUUGAAAUUGAUUCUAUCAUAUGAUUUCUUAUUUUCUAUUUGAAUUUUUUUUCCCUUUUUUAGGUUGGACUGUUUGAUGAAGUGAAAGAACGUUAUCGUGGAAGUCAUAUUUGUUGUCGCCUAACAAUUUAUGAAGUAGAAUUUAUUAUGAAAUAAUUAGAGUAAUCUUUCUUAUUAUUUGGAAUGAUUGAUUUAUUAUUGUAUUGAAUAUGAUAGAUUGAAAUUAUAA